rnacentral:rRNA from 1 species
AAGGGCACCACAAGAACGCGUGGAGCAUGUGGCUUAAUUUGACUCAACGCGGGAAAUCUUACCGGGUCCGGACACACUGAGGAUUGACAGGCAGUCAUGUGAAUUGUUUUUUUUUUUUAUUUCUUUUAAUAAAAAUAAAAAGAGACUUUCACAUAUAAAUAUGCUAGCCCUUUCAUGAUUAUGUGAUAGGUGGUGCAUGGCCGUUCUUAGUUCGUGGAGUGAUCUGUCUGCUUAAUUGCGUUUCAUACUGGACUUAGAAAUCAAGNGUGNCUAUUUUUCUUGGGCAGGGGUUUGUUUUUUAAAACUGCAUUUUGUUACCCCAUUUUUUUGGGGGAGUUUCACUGUGUUUUUUUUUUCUUCAUCCCGGGGCUUUACUGAAAAGAAGAAACACAUCNNGCCCNGAAAGCAACGAACGUGACCCCCCCCCCUUGUGGCCUUUUAACUAANAAGGUUUUCUUUUUUUUUUUUUUUUUUUUAAAAUUUAAAAAAAUUUUAAAUUCUUUUUAUAACAUAAGAGGCUUUCUUAAAACUAGAGGGGCCGCUGCGACUUUUUUAAACCAGAGGAAGGUUGCGGCAAUAACAGGUCUGUGAUGCCCUUAGAUGUUCCGGGCCGCCCCCGUGCUACAAUGGUUUUUGCAGUGGGCAUCUCAUUUAUAGCCCUGUCAUUCAUUUUUUUUUUUUUAAUUUUAAAAUAAAUGAAGCAGUCAAAGCCUGCUUCGAAAGUUCGCAGGUAAUCAAUUGGAAGUAAUGAUUUCCCUUAACUCAAAUUUGUUUUUGAUUUUGUGAGCACACGAUAUGCUGCUCCCCUCCCUGGCUUUUAGCUAUUUUUGUCUAAUUGCCAUUGUGUGUGGGGAUGUUUCAGCAUGUGCUUUUUGUCAAUUCAUGGUGGGGACAGACCAUUGUUAAUUGUUGGUCUCGGUCUCAACUAGGAAUGCCUUGUACGGGUCUUUGGUUCAACAAACCACCCGGAAUACGUCCCUGCCCUUUGUACACACCGCCCGUC